rnacentral:lncRNA from 1 species
AGGCAGCGGGAGGACGUGGCGGGCUCCUCACCACCAAGCACAGAGGCUGGCCGAGAGGAAGGGAAGCCGUGGCGCUGUCAUACCUGACUGGCUAAUGUAAGAAGUGGCCAUCUCACGGCAACCCUGGGGAAUCAAAGCCCAUUACUGGUUUGAGAGAUGGCCUAAUAUCCACUGUGAACACACACAACAGAUCAAAACAUCAGGAGGGCACCGAGAUGGAAGCCUCCUGCUCCAGCAUGUGUCAUCACAUGUGGUCCUCACACCAAACACGGAGCAACAAGUGUAAGAGUGCAGGAGGAGGUUUCCCUGUGCAGUCAUGUCCUGGUAUCGCUGGCACCGGGCCAGCCUUGCCAUCUGUCUCCUCUCCCCCUUCCUUGGCUCUCGUCAUCAUUGUCCUCCUCCUCCUCCUCCUCCUUCAAGCCAAUCUGCUCUACAUUUGCUAUCAUUACGUGCCUGCCAUCCUCAUGGCAUAUCAGAGGCAGGCGCCACACACCCUGUACCCUGCUCUCACUCCUCCUCCUCACGCCCCUGUUCCUGCACCCACUUCACCAGAGACUUCUCCAAAGGGUCCAGGUGGCAUCCUGUCCCGCUGUCCGAGCGCGACCAGGACGGAAAACAAAAGACACGCACGCCGACACGAACAAAAAAAGACCCAAAAAUCAGGACGUACUCCUUUUCUCCUCCCACUUGGUGCCUGCUGAGCUUCCUGUGCCCACAGGCUUGGUGUUGAGUUCUUGUUGUUGUUGUUGUUGUAAUUCACGCCUUCUCCUCCUCUGGAUGGUUGUUGCUGAGAGGUAAACCCUCUUCAAAUCCUGGAAGUGCCCCGGCUCUGGUGCUGUUGAUGGGACCCUGGUACGUCUGUCUCAUAUGCCCACACGCACGCACGCACGCACGCACUCUAACGCACACGCACACAGAUGCUGCAGAGUGUUUCUCUCAGAGCUCUCUGCCACCUCAUCCGCCUGCUGCCUCGAAAGAACUGGGAAUACCAUGGGAUCUACCAGAGGCUCUCUCACACGUGCAUACAGACAAACGAUGGAUUUAAUACGCACGUGCACUCGCCGGUCGUUUGAGGCUGCAGGAAAGUGAAUAAUCAAUUAAGUAUUGAUUCCUUGUAAGAUUUUUUUUAAAAUUCAAAGGCAAAGACAAAGAGGGUAGCUUAAGAAGAGCCGCCGUGAGCGAAAGGAGCCGCAAAUUAGCCAAUAAACACAGACGGGAGCGCA